AGCUGGGCAUGCGUCCCAUUAGCUAGUUGGUGAGGUAACGGCUCACCAAGGCAUCGAUGGGUAGGGGCUCUGAGAGGAUUGUCCCCCACACUGGUACUGAGACACGGACCAGACUCCUACGGGAGGCAGCAGUAAGGAAUAUUGGGCAAUGGACGCAAGUCUGACCCAGCCAUGCCGCGUGAAGGAAGACGGCCCUAUGGGUUGUAAACUUCUUUUCUCAGGGGGUAAACUUCGGAACGAGUUCCGGACUGAAAGUACCUGAGGAAUAAGCAUCGGCUAACUCCGUGCCAGCAGCCGCGGUAAUACGGAGGAUGCGAGCGUUAUCCGGAUUCAUUGGGUUUAAAGGGUGCGCAGGCGGAUAUAUAAGUCGGAGGUGAAAUUCUGAUGCUCAACAUCAGCCGUGCCUUCGAUACUGUAUAUCUAGAGUCAAGUUGGAGUAGGCGGAAUGUGUUGUGUAGCGGUGAAAUGCUUAGAUAUAACACAGAACACCGAUCGCGAAGGCAGCUUACUAAACUUUGACUGACGCUCAUGCACGAAAGCGUGGGGAUCAAACAGGAUUAGAUACCCUGGUAGUCCACGCUGUAAACGAUGAUUACUCGCUGUUGGCGAUACACAGUCAGUGGCUAAGCGAAAGUGAUAA
rnacentral:rRNA from 1 species